UAUGAAUCGCCGCCGCCACCACCAUACAAGUAUGAAUCGCCUCCUCCACCACCAUAUAAGUACGAAUCGCCACCGCCACCACCAUACAAGUACGAGUCGCCUCCUCCACCUCCGUACAAGUAUGAAUCGCCUCCUCCCCCACCAUACUACUACAAAUCACCACCACCACCUCCUUACAAGUAUGAAUCUCCCCCUCCACCUCCAUAUUACUACAAAUCUCCACCCCCGCCACCACCUUACUACUACAAAUCACCACCACCACCUUCUCCUGUCUACAAAUAUAAAUCUCCACCACCACCACCUUACAAGUACGAAUCUCCUCCUCCACCUCCAUACUAUUACAAGUCUCCACCACCACCGCCGUAUUACUACAAGUCUCCACCACCACCACCUCCAGUUUACAAAUACAAAUCUCCUCCUCCGCCACCAUAUUACUACAAAUCACCACCUCCUCCAUCACCAGUAUAUUACUACAAAUCUCCUCCUCCACCAGCGUAUUACUACAAAUCUCCCCCACCGCCUGUCUACUAUUACAAAUCCCCGCCACCUCCAGCUUACCACUACCAAUCGCCACCCCCACCAAGUUACAAGCUGGUAGUGGUCACGGGCAAGGUCUAUUGCAACAGAUGCUGGAACACCACAAGCAGAUACCUUCAGGCAUCACCACAUGGGUCUGCUAGGUACAUUCUCAAUUGCAUUGUAUUCGAUAUUGUUCUCCUCACUCAUUUCCUCUUGAUACUGUGUGCAAUAAUGCAGGUGGCAAAGUGAAGAUCACAUGUGGCGAAUCUUACUACUACGGCUACACCAACAAGCAUGGAAUCUUUAGAAUUGAGCUCCCGCACCAAUCCUGGGAAGAAGCAAGCAGCUGCAAGGCCAAGAUUAUCAAGAGCAGCUACAUCAAGUCGUCAUGCAAUGUCAUCACGGACUACAGGUCUGGUGCAACAGGGGCCAAGCUCAAGUUCAAAUCGAAAACAGAGAAGGAGCUCGUCUUGACAGCCGGUCCUUUCAUCUAUGCAACUCCAGAGCCAUCGUCAGUCUGCUUCUACACAUCACCUCCCUAUGAGUACAAGUCACCUCCGCCACCAACACCGGUCUACCAUUACGCCUCUCCGCCACCUCCGGUCUACUACUACAAAUCGCCACCUCCUCCUUCACCGGUUUACUACUACAAAUCCCCUCCUCCUCCUUCGCCGGUCUACUAUUACAAAUCCCCGCCUCCACCACCAUACUAUUACAAGUCCCCACCUCCACCUCCGCCUAAGUAUUACUACAAGUCGCCCCCACCACCGUCUCCAUACUAUUACAAAUCCCCGCCCCCUCCACCGUACUAUUACAAAUCCCCACCACCACCUCCCUACAAAUACGAAUCGCCGCCGCCUCCUCCUUACAAAUACGAGUCCCCACCUCCACCACCUUACUAUUACAAGUCCCCACCACCACCUCCAUACAAAUAUGAAUCCCCGCCACCUCCAGUCUACAAAUAUGAGUCUCCGCCACCCCCAGUUUACAAAUACAAGUCGCCACCACCACCAUACAAGUACGAGUCACCACCACCACCUCCAUACAAGUAUGAAUCCCCGCCACCUCCACCUUAUUACUACAAGUCCCCUCCACCACCACCAUACAAGUACGAGUCGCCACCACCUCCUCCGUACAAGUAUGAAUCUCCACCACCACCAGUUUACAAAUACAAGUCACCUCCGCCGCCACCUUAUUACUACAAAUCCCCACCGCCACCUCCAUACAAGUACGAGUCUCCACCUCCUCCUCCGUACAAGUAUGAAUCUCCACCACCACCACCUUAUUACUACAAAUCCCCCCCGCCACCUCCAUACAAGUACGAGUCACCGCCUCCUCCUCCGUACAAGUAUGAAUCUCCACCACCGCCAGUUUACAAAUACAAGUCACCCCCGCCACCACCUUAUUACUACAAAUCCCCGCCACCACCUCCAUACAAGUACGAGUCUCCACCUCCUCCUCCGUACAAGUAUGAAUCUCCACCACCACCUCCUUAUUACUACAAAUCCCCGCCGCCACCUCCCUACAAGUAUGAAUCCCCGCCACCACCUCCCUACAAAUACGAGUCACCUCCACCACCACCUUACUAUUACAAAUCUCCUCCACCGCCUCCAUACAAGUAUGAGUCGCCACCACCACCAGUCUACAAAUACGAGUCUCCGCCACCCCCAGUUUACAAAUACAAGUCGCCCCCUCCACCUUAUUACUACAAGUCUCCGCCACCCCCGCCAUACAAAUAUGAAUCCCCACCUCCACCUCCCUACAAGUAUGAAUCGCCUCCUCCUCCACCUUACUACUACAAGUCCCCUCCACCACCUCCCUACAAAUAUGAAUCCCCGCCACCACCUCCCUAUAAAUACGAGUCACCACCACCACCACCUUACUAUUACAAAUCUCCUCCACCGCCUCCAUACAAGUAUGAGUCGCCACCACCACCUCCCUACAAAUACGAGUCACCACCACCACCACCUUACAAGUAUGAAUCCCCACCUCCACCUCCGUACAAGUAUGAAUCACCUCCACCGCCUCCAUACAAGUAUGAAUCCCCUCCUCCACCUCCCUACAAAUACGAGUCACCACCCCCACCACCUUAUUACUACAAAUCGCCUCCGCCACCGGAGUAUCAAUCACCUCCUUACGUGUAUAAAUCUCCAC
rnacentral:lncRNA from 1 species